GCAGAGACAGAGAGACAAGAAGCUUUCACAGGUUUUCACACAUCUCAAGAUAGCACUGUGGGAAACACUGACCUGACAGAAUGUUCUUAAUCCUGGUUGUCACAGUGUUCUUGGCUGGCUGCUUGGCAUUCCCAUCAAAGACCCGUACUCGUAUUCCUCUGCGGUGGGUCAGGGAGGUGGCACCCCAUUUGCUUCCUACGGUGAGGG